UAAUCUGCCUAGCAACAAGGCGGGCAUGACGGUUUGAGGACGCUUUGGAAAGGAGGAAAGGAGGAGGCAAUAGUCUUUUGUGCCGGGGGUAGCCUCGCCAACCUGGUGCCCGCUAUUCCAAAACAUCUGGGGGGCACCAGAUGACCACAGAGCCUGGAGACAGGUUGUGUAUUCCCAGCAGUUACCAGAAGAGGAAUGACUGCUGGAAGGAGUGCAGAAAGAAGAAACCCCAUGGUACACCUGCAGGACUCCUUCAUUUGCCCCAGCUGCAACAAAACAUGUAUCUCCCUUACUGGUCUCUAUGCCCCGGAGGCAUCAUCUUCAAUUGUCUCCUAAGACAGAUGGAUGCCAACUGGAUGAGUAGAUAACUGCCUGUUACAACUUGGGAUAGAAAAAAGUACCAUAAAAAUUAAGAGUACCAAGAAAAAAGGGGAAAAAAUAAAGUUAACAGGUUUAAAAAAGUAAGAGGAAAAAGGAGAAGAAAAGGGGGGAAACAGAAAGACAGAAAGAGACCAGAAAACCUGAACAUGAGUAAAGGAUAGCUGUGCUGUCUUUUCACUGCAAUCCUACGCUUGUCUACUAAAAGAUAAACUCAGUGGGGCUUUCUCUCAUGCAAGUAUGUGUAGGAUUUCAGCCUUCAAGUUUAUGGAUAAAUGUACAGGCAGCUCCCAUUUUGUGCGCUUUUAAGGCACGCACGUGCUGUUUUUUGACCAGGAAGAGGGUGGAAUGGGGGUGGGAUUGAGAUGGGUCAUAACGGGGCAGGGCACAAAUCAGGAUUGGCUGUAUGUGUUUAUAGGCCAUAUUCACAAACAAUAAUUGUUAUGGAAAUUUAAGUGGUAGGAAAAUGUUUCAUCUAAAAACAAAGAGCUUUGCUGAAUUAGAUCAAAGGUCCAUUUAGUCUUGCUUCCACAGUGACUGGAAAGAUGCUUCCAGGAGACUUAGCCAUAACACAAUAAGACAAUUGCUUUUC